rnacentral:rRNA from 1 species
UACCAGCACCCCGAGUGGUCGGGACGUUUAUUGGGCCUAAAGCAUCCGUAGCCGGUUCUACAAGUCUUCCGUUAAAUCCAGCUGCUUAACAGAUGGGCUACGGAAGAUACUAUGGAGCUAGGAGGCGGGAGAGGCAAGCGGUACUCGAUGGGUAGGGGUAAAAUCCGUUGAUCCAUUGAAGACCACCAGUGGCGAAGGCGGCUUGCCAGAACGCGCUCGACGGUGAGGGAUGAAAGCUGGGGGAGCAACCGG